UAGGGAAUAUUGCUCAAUGGGCGAAAGCCUGAAGCAGCAACGCCGCGUGCACGAUGAAGGCCUUCGGGUCGUAAAGUGCUUUUCUGCGAGAUGAGAAAGGACAGUAUCGUAGGAAUAAGUCUCGGCUAACUACGUGCCAGCAGCCGCGGUAAAACGUAGGAGGCGAGCGUUAUCCGGAUUCACUGGGCGUAAAGCGCGUGCAGGUGGUUCGGUAAGUUGGGCGUGAAAUCUCCCGGCUCAACUGGGAGAGGUCGUUCAAUACUACCGAACUUGAGAGCAGAAGAGGAAGAUGGAAUUCCCGGUGUAGUGGUGAAAUGCGUAGAUAUCGGGAGGAACACCAGUGGCGAAGGCGAUCUUCUGGUCUGUUUCUGACACUCAGACGCGACAGCUAGGGUAGUAAACGGGAUUAGAGACCCCGGUAAUCCUAGCCGUAAACGAUGUGAACUUGGCGUUGGUGGGUUAAACUCCAUCAGUGCCGCAGCAAACGCGAUAAGUU
rnacentral:rRNA from 1 species